UACAGAGGUCCCAAGCGUUGUUCGGAUUCACUGGGCGUAAAGGGUGCGUAGGUGGUGGGGUAAGUCGGAUGUGAAAUCUCCGAGCUCAACUCGGAAACUGCAUUGGAAACUACCCUGCUAGAGGGUCGGAGGGGGGACUGGAAUACUUGGUGUAGCAGUGAAAUGCGUAGAUAUCAGGAGGAACACCGGUGGCGAAGGCGGAUCUCUGGGCCAUUACUGACGCUGAGGAGCGAAAGUGUGGGGAGCGAACAGG
rnacentral:rRNA from 1 species